rnacentral:rRNA from 1 species
UACGAGGGGGGCAAGUGUUGUUCGGAAUCACUGGGCGUAAAGGGAGCGUAGGCGGAUGUUUAAGUUGGAUGUUUAAAAACCGGGGCCUAACCUCGGAGCGGCAUCCAAAACUGGGCAUCUUGAAUAGGUCAGAGGCUGGUGGAAUUGGAGGUGUAGCGGUGGAAUGCGUAGAGAUCUCCAAGAACACCUAUUGCGAAGGCAGCCAGCUGGGACCAUAUUGACGCUGGAGGCUCGAAAGCAUGGGGAGCAAACAGGA